CAGCAGCCGCGGGAAUACGAAGGGGGCUAGCGUUGUUCGGAUUUACUGGGCGUAAAGGGCGCGUAGGCGGGCGAAUAAGUCAGGGGUGAAAUCCCAAGGCUCAACCUUGGAACUGCCUUUGAUACUGUUUGUCUUGAGUUCGAGAGAGGUAAGUGGAACUGCGAGUGUAGAGGUGAAAUUCGUAGAUAUUCGCAAGAACACCAGUGGCGAAGGCGGCUUACUGGCUCGAAACUGACGCUGAGGAGCGAAAGCGCGGGGAGCGAACAGGAUUAGAUACCCCCGUAGUCCCUGUCUCUUAUAC
rnacentral:rRNA from 1 species